rnacentral:rRNA from 1 species
AGCAGCCGCGGUAAUUCCAGCUCCAAUAGCGUAUAUUAAAGUUGUUGCAGUUAAAAAGCUCGUAGUUGAAUUUCGGGAUUGACACAUCGGUCGUGCCUUAAGGGGUAUGAACUGGUGUAGUCAAUUUCUCACCUUCUGGAGAACCGCAAUGCCCUUAAUUGGGUGUCGCGGGGAACCAGGACCUUUACUUUGAAAAAAUUAGAGUGUUUAAAGCAGGCAUUUUGCUUGAAUACAUUAGCAUGGAAUAAUAAAAUAGGACGGCAUGAUUCUAUUUUGUUGGUUUCUAGGAUCACCGUAAUGAUUAAUAGGGAUAGUUGGGGGCAUUAGUAUUCAAUUGUCAGAGGUGAAAUUCUUGGAUUUAUUGAAGACUAACUACUGCGAAAGCAUUUGCCAAGGAUGUUUUCAUUAAUCAAGAACGAAAGUUAGGGGAUCGAAGACGAUCAGAUACCGUCGUAGUCUUAACCAUAAA